GGCUCGGUAGCUUAGGUGGUAAAGCGCUCGUCUAGCAUACAAGAGUCCUGGGUGUCGUGUUCCGAGCCA
rfam:Aedes aegypti strain Liverpool supercont1.223 genomic scaffold, whole genome shotgun sequence.